rnacentral:rRNA from 1 species
UACGGAGGAUCCGAGCGUUAUCCGGAUUUAUUGGGUUUAAAGGGUGCGCAGGCGGGAUGUUAAGUCGGCGGUGAAAUUUUGCAGCUCAACUGUAAAAGUGCCUUCGAUACUGGCUUUCUUGAGUGUGGAUGAAGUAGGCGGAAUUUGUGGUGUAGCGGUGAAAUGCUUAGAUAUCACGAGGAACUCCGAUUGCGCAGGCAGCUUACUAAACCAUAACUGACGCUCAGGCACGAAGGCGUGGGGAUCAAACAGGAUUAGAUACCCG